rnacentral:rRNA from 1 species
GACAGAGGGUGCAAACGUUGUUCGGAAUUACUGGGCGUAAAGCGCGUGUAGGCUGUUUUGCAAGUCGGAUGUGAAAGCCCUGGGCUCAACCUAGGAAGUGCACUCGAAACUGCAGAACUGGAGUCCUGGAGAGGAAGGCGGAAUUCUCGGUGUAGAGGUGAAAUUCGUAGAUAUCGAGAGGAACACCGGUGGCGAAGGCGGCCUGCUGGACAGUGACUGACGCUGAGACGCGAAAGCGUGGGGAGCAAACAGG